ACUUUCUUAGUAUAAUAAGUACAACUGACUUCCAAUCAGUUAGAUCUAGAUCAAACUAGAAGAGAGUA
rnacentral:tRNA from 1 species